AGCGAACGCUAGCGGCGGGCCUAACACAUGCAAGUCGAGCGGGGGAGCAAUCCCCAGCGGCGGACGGGUGAGUAACACGUAGGUUAUGUGCCCCUUGGUGGGGAAUAACCGUGGGAAACCAUGGCUAAUUCCGCAUAUCGAGCGAAAUCUUGAAAGCCUUCGGGCGCCAAAAGGAGCAACCUGCGGCCCAUUAGCUUGUUGGUAGGGUAACGGCCUACCAAGGCGAUGAUGGGUAGCUGGUCUGAGAGGAUGAUCAGCCACACUGGAACUGAGACACGGUCCAGACUCCUACGGGAGGCAGCAGUGGGGAAUAUUGCGCAAUGGGCGAAAGCCUGACGCAGCCACGCCGCGUGAGUGAAGAAGGCCU
rnacentral:rRNA from 1 species